CGGGGUAUAGCGCAGUCUGGUAGCGCACCUGCUUUGGGAGCAGGAUGUCGGGGGUUCAAAUCCCUCUGCCCCGA
rnacentral:tRNA from 1 species